UGGGGAAUAUUGCACAAUGGACGGAAGUUUGAUGCAGCGACGCCGCGUGGAGGGUGUAGGCCUUCGGGUUGUGAACUCCUUUUUCUCGCGAAAAAGGCACAGUUUUGGCUGUGUUGAUGGUAGUGGGGGAAGAAGCGCCGGCUAACUACGUGCCAGCAGCCGCGGUAAUACGUAGGGCGCGAGCGUUGUCCGGAAUUAUUGGGCGUAAAGGGCUUGUAGGUGGCUGGUUGCGUCUGUCGUGAAAGCUCAUGGCUUAACUGUGGGUUUGCGGUGGGUACGGGCUGGCUUGAGUGCAGUAGGGGAGGCUGGAAUUCCUGGUGUAGCGGUGGAAUGCGCAGAUAUCAGGAGGAAUACCGGUGGCGAAGGCGGGUCUCUGGGCUGUUACUGACGCUGAGGAGCGAAAGCGUGGGGAGCGAACAGG
rnacentral:rRNA from 1 species